rnacentral:rRNA from 1 species
AGUAACGCGUGGGAACGUACCUUUUGGUUCGGAACAACACAGGGAAACUUGUGCUAAUACCGGAUAAGCCCUUACGGGGAAAGAUUUAUCGCCGAAAGAUCGGCCCGCGUCUGAUUAGCUAGUUGGUGUGGUAACGGCGCACCAAGGCGACGAUCAGUAGCUGGUCUGAGAGGAUGAUCAGCCACAUUGGGACUGAGACACGGCCCAAACUCCUACGGGAGGCAGCAGUGGGGAAUAUUGGACAAUGGGCGCAAGCCUGAUCCAGCCAUGCCGGUGAGUGAUGAAGGCCCUAGGGUUGUAAAGCUCUUUUGUGCGGGGAAGAUAUGACGGUACCGCAAGAAAUAAGCCCCGGUUAAAUUCGUGCCAGCAGCCGCGGUAAUACGAAGGGGGCUAGCGUUGCUCGGAAUCACUGGGCGUAAAGGGUGCGUAGGCGGGUCUUUAAGUCAGGGGUGAAAUCCUGGAGCUCAACUCCAGAACUGCCUUUGAUACUGAGGAUCUUGAGUUCGGGAGAGGUGAGUGGAACUGCGAGUGUAGAGGUGAAAUUCGUAGAUAUUCGCAAGAACACCAGUGGCGAAGGCGGUCACUGGCCCGAUACUGACGCUGAGGCACGAAAGCGUGGGGAGCCAAACAGGAUUAGAUACCCUGGUAGUCCACGCCGUAAAACGAUGAAUGGCAGCCGUUAGUGGGUUUACUCACUAGUGGGCAGUAACGCUUUAAGCAUUCGCUGGG